UACAGAGGUCCCGAGCGUUGUUCGGAUUCACUGGGCGUAAAGGGUGCGUAGGCGGUUUUGUAAGUCAGAUGUGAAAUCCCCGGGCUCAACCUGGGAACUGCGUUUGAAACUACAAGGCUAGAGUGUGGCAGAGGGGGGUGGAAUUCCACGUGUAGCAGUGAAAUGCGUAGAGAUGUGGAGGAACACCGGUGGCGAAGGCGGCAUCCUGGACCGGUAUUGACGCUGAGGCGCGAAAGCCAGGGGAGCAAACGGG
rnacentral:rRNA from 1 species